rnacentral:lncRNA from 1 species
GUAGGGUGAUGGAAUGCGAUAUGGAGAUAACAAAAAUUCAAAAAUUGAAAUCUUACCAUAUUUUUUUACAGCAUCUCACAUAUUGAGCUAUCCAACACAUACAUACAGUUAAUGUAAACUUUUGGGUCCACAUUGGAGAAAGGUAACUUGGAUCCUACCACUUGGCAAUUGAUUGUUGCAUCCGAUUUUUUUUCACUUCUUACACCCUCAAAUGUUUUAAUAUUAUCAUAUUAUCC